CUUAAUUUUUCUUCUUUUUUAGUAAUGUUUUUAUUUUUCCUACCUCGUGCAGAUCAAAGAUUCUAUCGCUGACCCGAACAUGAGUGGAGACAGGAGAACCAACAAAACAGAAGAAGGAAAGCUUUUAAGGGAGCAGUUACUUUGUGGAAUUCAACUUUGUCGACUGCCUUAAAUCCAGCACCAAAAUGCUCAAGAAUCCCAAGUAAGAGGAUUAUAUGAGCUUCUAGAUUCUACAAGCAGUUUAAAAAAAGAGGUAUUGUACAAUGCUUGAGCUGGAUGUUUGCCCAUCAGUGUGAUGGGCUCCAUGUUUCAGUGAUCUAAACCGUCAAUGUGAUGGGUCCCACUAUUGAUUGAAUAUGUGCAUGUUCUCCAGGACUAAUGAGAAAGUAUGCAUGGAAACCGUUUUCAUUCAACCAAAAAAAGACCAGAUUUUCUACAUCUAGGGUCAUCCAAUCUGAGGGAUUUUUGGUGCUUCAACAUCCAUGUUGAGGGCCUUCAAUGGUUUGGAUCACUGAACCACGUGUGAUGGGUCCCACUCUACUGAACUGUAUUGUAGAAAGUAUCAGCCCAGCAUUGUAAAGCAACAUCUAAAAAAUUACAUGAAAAAAAAGAAGUUAGGUUAUCUAUCAAUUACCUCACUUGUGCAUCAAGUCAAGAGGGACCUGUUGGUAGUUCGCUGGCCCACAGGAAUUAGUGGUCAGCUCUGAUCUUUAGUGUUAUCGAAACCAUUCAUCUGGUGGGCACCACCAUAGGACGGACCGUGGCUUGUACAACAAAGCCAAUGGUUCACAUUGGUCUGAUCUUCUAAGAUAAUCGAAACCGUUCUUCUGGUAGGUGCUGUUGUAGGAUGCACAAUGGCUUGUACAUCAAUCUUAACCGUUCAAGCUGUGGUUUGCAAAUUUAUUUUAAAACAAAAAAUGGCCAACGGCCGAUGGUUGACAUUCAACAGGUACGAGUCAGAUCCAGUGGACCAUCCAUGGUGGGGCCCACUAAAUGAACAAAACUGAAUGCGAGGGACUACCAUUAUAGGUGGUCCAGCGGGGUUAUAAUAGUUUUCCUAAAAGUCAAAGUCAAACAGUGCGCACGAGUGGAUUUAAAUCCAAAUCAAAGGCCUUAGAUAGCUGUUUUUUGAAGGUAGGAAAGUUGAAAUUUUUAGAGCCAUAAGACAAUAGAAAAAUGAAAGGAUGUGAUGUGUGGAAGAAAGUAAAAAUUUACAGGAAUCACUCGAUACUCUGAAAGAGUAUGACUGCCCAUAUGCAUGCAGUAGAGCUGCUGCUACAUGUGCAAUACAUGUGAUCCAAUCCAAACUGUCCAAGUGGUGGACCCCAGUAUAGAUGGAUCAUAACCAGAAACCACACUUGAACAGAAGUUGUUAACUGUCUGGUUUAUGGCCAUUGAAUGGACAGUUAAAUGAAAAAUCUGUUAAAUUGGAGGAUAGGAUCAUUGAACCGAUUGAUGUUUAAGCUAUGGUCACUUUUUCAGUGGGAUCCAGUAUUUGGACCGUUAGGAUUGAGAUACGUGUGGCUGUUUGCAUGUGUAUGAAUAGUCAUACUAUUUCAGAGUAUCAAAUAGCAAGGAAUUUUAUUUAUAUAUUUCCUCCCCUUUUUCUAUGCAAUCUCUUGCUUUCAUCCACACAUGCUUCUCAUUUUCCUAUAAUCAGAUGCCGCAUUUGAUGCAUAUGAUUUCCAUGAAGUGGGUCCCACACACGUGCCAGCUUAGUCAUGGACGAUUGAGCAACUGAUCUGGUGGGCCACCUCGUGGAUGAUUUUAAACUCCGGAUCUUCCGGUCUUUGUUCGUUACUUCCAUUGAAUGUGGACCGUUGCUUAUUUUUCUCUCGAAUUUAUAGAUAGAUGGAUAUGAAAGUCUGAUCAGUUUGAUUUUUGGGCCAUGACCCAUCAACCCGGCGACCCACAAGAACAAUGGUCCCGAUCUCCUUACAGAAUUGCCACGUGGACGGUGGAUGUGUGUGGUUGCACGGUGAAAUGGAACGCACGUGAAGCACGCAUACCGUAGUAUCGAGCUGCACACGCAAACUCCCACGACGGCACGGCUUCUUAAAAUUGGGAGUUUGUAUUUGGGUAGGUGGGCCAUGGUCUCUAACUCCCAACAAUCCCAAUCCCCAAAAUCCUACCGUCGCUUUCAGUUUUGCAAUUUCCUGACCGUCGGAUCAAUUUUCUAGUGUUAAUCUCUGGGUGGGGCCCACCUCUAGGAUCAUGUUGAUUGGACGAUCCUAGCCAUCCUUUGGAGGGACCAUUGACUGCAAAUGAAGGGAUUCAUCAGGAGGGGAAAUGGGUCAACUUUGAAUGUGGACCGUUUGUCAAUUUCGUUUAGCCAUCCGUUGUUUUCAUUUGAUUGUGGCCCAUCUCAUGACUGUAGUCGUCUGAUUUUGGGGUCAUGGUAUAAUCCAUGUUGGGGCCCACCGGAUGAACGGCUCCGAUUUUGAGUGGAUUGGUCCAUGUGGGGAGUAGCCAGCAGGAUUAUGAGUUGGCUUAUGGAUUACAUUUUAGAAUUUCGAUGCAUGCCCGCAUGUGCAGCACUGUCUACCCACAUGCUCGCACACAUACUGUUAUGGCACGUGCGUGAGCUCAGAGUUCUCCAUCAGGUGGGCCGGAUCAUGUAGAUCUUUUGAGCUAAUGGUUGUGUUGUUUUACACUGCAUGUGGGCCCACAGCGUAGGAGAAAUGGAUGGCUAGAAAAAAUUGAUUUAGCUGCCUAUUUGUUUUGUAAAUUGUGGUCCAUCCGACGGCUGAAACGGGCUAAUAUUUAAGCAGAAGAUCGAUAUAGUGUGCCCCACCUGAUGGAAAGAUCGGAUCUUGCACACGUAGGAUGCAUUGUCCAUGUGCUUAUAGGUGAGUGGGUGGAGUUUCACACGCGUGUGGAUUAACAAACCUCCGUACGUCAUCAAACAAGCAAUGCCAUGGCUAGUCGCUACAGUCGCCACGUGAAUUCUACUCUCCACUCCUGCGUGCAUGUGUGAGAUCUGGGCCGUUAAUCAGGUGUCCAACCAUUUAAAUCCUGUGGUAAAAAAAAAAUCAGAUUGGUCCGCUCAUCGGGUGGGCCACACAUGUAUAUUGGAUGUGCCCAGUGGUCAGCAUGACUGGACUGUCGUAAUUUUUUUGUGAUGGGCAUACAAUGACAGGGCCCAUCAGAUGAACGGUCCGGAUCUCACAUGUUUAGUUCCCUGUAUUACGUGUUUUGGUUGGGUGGUUGCAGCGUCAAGCCUUCAAACCCAAGCAAUACAUUCCUUCAAUGCUUUAAAUUGUAAUCCAUUAAAAUAAAAUAAAUAGAAUUAUUUAUUGAGAAAUAGUCCAGUGCUCUCACAGCACUAUCAGUGAUAGUCCUCCCAGUUGGAUUGGGACACUUUGACUAUCUAAUCCAUUAAUCUAGACCGUUUACUAGA